UACGUAGGGGGCAAGCGUUGUCCGGAAUCAUUGGGCGUAAAGCGCGCGUAGGCGGCCCGGUAAGUCCGCUCUGAAAGUCCAGGGCUCAACCCUGGAAAGCGGGUGGAUACUGCCGGGCUAGAAUCCGGAAGAGGCGAGUGGAAUUCCUGGUGUAGCGGUGGAAUGCGCAGAUAUCAGGAGGAACACCAAUAGCGAAGGCAGCUCGCUGGGACGGUAUUGACGCUAAGGCGCGAAAGCGUGGGAGCAAACAGG
rnacentral:rRNA from 1 species